GUAUGUGCUGUUCUGGUGGAAAGGUUAAAAUUCCAUUACUUGGCGAGCCAGAGGAACCUCUUAAAUCUUUACUUUUAUACGACAGUAACGAAUCGCGCCGGUUUUUAAGCAGGAUUAGAAAGUAUAAUUCUUGCUUUCAGAUGACGUCAUUUGGUGUAGAUAAGGAGGUCGUAAUGCCUGGAUUUUCACCUACUUUUACCAUCCAAGGACAGGUGUAUCACAGGAUUGGUUCCUUACUUCCCGCAAAUAAUGAACAACCAAAGCUUUUGCAACUUUAUUUCAUGGGCGAUGAAAAAAACGAAGCUGAUCGCAGGUGUCAAAAUAUACAAGGAAUCGAAAGGGAUACUGUUUUAAAAAUCCAGAGAAUGUUGCAUGAACAUAAUCGCCUUAUCAAUACUUUCAAAACAGCACUAGAAAGAAUGCCGGGAGAGGAUUAUAGGUUGGUGAUGCACCCCGAUCGCACACCAAGUGGGGAACAUGAAAGGCGGUAUAAUGCACCGUUAAUAAAUGAAGUCGCAGCCUUGGUUACAGGCGAACAGUUUGCUUUCCGUGAUAUAGUUUUACAGGCCCGAGAUGACACAUUAACCAGGGUGCCUGAUACUCAUAAAUUUUAUGAUGCGUUGCAAUAUCCGAUCAUAUUUAGUAAGGGACAAGAGGGGUACCACUUUCAAGUUCCUCAAAUUAAUCCUGUAACAGGUCUUCCCUUGCAUAACAAAAAGGUUUCAUGCAUGGAUUUUUAUGCCUACAACAUGAUGAUACGAGAAAACAACUUUAACAUUGUACAAAGAUGCAAGCAACUGGCCAAUCAGUCUUACGUUGACAUGUACGUUAAAGUUGAAAGCGAGAGGUUACGGUACAUAUCAUUAAAUCAAACUAAACUAAGAGCAGAGAAUUACAUCCAUCUUCAAGACGCUGUGGCAAAUGACGCUAAUUUAAAUCCAAAUAACUUAGGUCGUAUGGUCAUUUUACCAUCUUCAUUUGUAAAUAGCCCGCGGUACUUACACGAAUAUACUCAGGACGCGUUUGUUUAUGUGCGUACACAUGGUCGCCCUGACUUAUUCGUCACCUUUACUUGCAACCCAGCCUGGCCCGAAAUAGUCAAUCAGUUGAUGCCGGGGCAAAGCGCAAUAGAUAGACAUGAUGUAGUCGCAAGAGUUUUGAGACUAAAAGUUAAAAAACUAAUGGAUGUGAUUAAUAAAGGCCGAGUGUUCAGAGAAGCGCGCUGCUUUAUGUACUCUGUCGAAUGGCAGAAACGUGGACUGCCACAUGUCCAUAUAUUAUUGUGGUUAAAAGAUAAGUUACGACCCGAUCAAAUAGAUAACAUAAUCAGCGCUGAAAUACCGGAUCCUAACAUUGACAAGACUCUCCAUGACAUUAUUGUAAAAAAUAUGAUUCACGGUCCAUGCGGACCCGAAAAUCCACAGUGCCACUGCAUGAAAGACGGAAAAUGCACAAAAAAAUUUCCUCGCAAGUUAGUGAAAGAGACCGUUCACAACGACCACGGAUACCCGCAGUAUCGUAGAAGAGCGCCAGCAGACGGAGGUCGAACAGCAACCGUGAAGCUCCGAAAUGGUAGCUACGUUACAGUUGAUAAUAGUUGGGUAGUCCCCUAUUCACCAAUUUUAUCAAAAAUGUUUAACGCCCACAUAAAUGUUGAGGCAUGCAGUUCAGUACGCGCCAUCAAAUAUAUUUGCAAAUAUAUAAACAAGGGUAGUGAUCAAGCUAUUUUCAAUUUUAGAAAUACUGAUCUUGCGAAUCCCGUAGAUGAGGUACAAACUUAUCAGUCUGGUCGGUAUGUCAGCAGCAACGAAGCCGUGUGGCGUCUGUUAGCAUUUCCGUUGCACGAAAGGCAUCCCACCGUGACACAUCUCAGCGUGCAUUUAGAAAAUGGUGAACGCGUUUAUUUUAAUGAACACAAUUUCCACGAACGAAUAACUACUCCGCCAAAAACCACACUCACUGCUUUUUUUGAUCUUUGUAUCAGAGAUGAGUUUGCAAAAACUCUUCUUUAUGUCGAGGUGCCGAGGUAUUAUACUUGGGAUGCAAGUAGGAAAACUUGGAAACGCCGCAUUCAAGGUACUUCAGUUCACGAUUGGCCUGGCGUCAAAUCUGGAGAUGCUUUAGGACGAGUUUAUACAGUUCAUGUUAGUAACAUGGAAUGUUUUUGUCUACGCAUGCUUUUACACCAUGUGCGCGGACCUACCUCUUUCAAUGAUCUAAAAAAAUACAACACACAAGAUUAUCCUACAUUUCGAGAGGCAUGUGAGGCAAGAGGAUUACUGGAGAAUGACAACCAUUGGGAUGUGACACUGGAAGAAGCUGCUCAAUGUAGAUCAGCAGGCAAGAUGAGAGAGCUAUUUGCUGUAUUAGUAGCGACAUGUGGUCUUUCAAAUUCUCAACAAUUGUGGGAUAAAUACAAAAAUGAUAUGACCGACGAUAUAUUGCACAGAUUACAAGAGCAAAAUCCCAAUGUCACGUACAGUGAUUUAAUUUACAAUGAGGGUCUGACAAAAAUUGAAAACCAGGUUAAAACAAUUUCUAGAAAGGAUUUAUCAGAUUAUGGAAUGAUCAGACCACAGAGAACCGAGGAAAUCAGUAGCGAUUUAAUACGGGAACUAGAUUACGAUACUGCUUCCUUACAACAACAAUUGACAGAGUCUGUUCCACGUUUGAUCCCAGAACAAAGGUUAGUAUUUGACAAUGUUUUCAAAAAAAUCGAAGAUGGCGAAGGUGGUUUGUUAUUUUUGGAUGCUCCCGGAGGCACGGGAAAAACCUUUCUUUUAAACUUGCUUUUAGCGCAAAUCCGAAAAGAUAAAGGAAUUGCUGUAGCAGUUGCCUCUUCCGGAAUAGCCGCCACUCUGCUCAAUGGUGGUCGAACGGCACAUUCGGUGCUUAAACUGUCAUUAAACUUAGCCCAUGAAGAAAUGCCAGUCUGUAAUAUAAGUAAAAACAGCGAGCGUGGACGUAUGUUGCAGCAAUGUAAAUUAUUAGUUUGGGAUGAGUGUACUAUGUCCCAUAAAAGAGCAAUUGAAGCUCUAGAUCGGACUUUGAAAGACAUCAAGAGUAAUCCAAAUAUCAUGGGGGGGGAUGGUGGUACUUUUAGCGGGCGAUUUUAGACAGACUUUGCCGGUUAUCACUAAAGGCACCCGUGCAGAUGAAAUAAAUGCGUGUUUAAAAGCGUCAACGUUAUGGGUGCACGUAAAAACGUUUAGUCUGUCUACAAAUAUGAGAGUGCAACUACACAAUGAUGUACAAUCUGGACAAUAUGCUGCUGCUCUUCUUAAAAUUGGAGAAGAUCGUAUGGCAAAGGAUGGUAAUGGCAUGAUUACAUUGGAUCGUGAAUUCUGUAAUGUUGUGCAUAAUCCAGAUGAUCUAUUUAACUUCGUCUAUAGCGAACUGCUAACUAACAUGAGGAAUAGGACUGGUUAUGUGAAAGAGCAAUUUUAGCGCCGACGAAUGAAAUGGUGGGACAGAUAAACGAGCAAAUUAUGUCACGCGUGGAAGGUGAUAUUGUUGAGUUUCUCUCUGUAGACACUGUAAUGGAUACUGAACAAGUAACAUCAUACCCUGUAGAAUUUCUUAAUUCUUUAGAACUGUCGGGAGUACCUUCACACAAACUGAGGCUGAAAGUAGGCGUUCCUGUCCUUUUAAUGCGGAAUUUAGAUGCACCAAGACUGUGUAAUGGCACACGGUUGCAAGUGACACACCUCGGUCGCAAUAUUGUAAAAGCAAUCAUUAUGACUGGAAUGGCAAAAGGAGAGAACGUUUUAAUCCCCCGUAUACCCAUAAUUCCGACAGAUUUGCCAUUCCAGUUUAAGAGAUUACAGUUUCCGCUGAAAAUCGCAUUCGCUAUGACGAUAAAUAAAGCUCAGGGGCAAACAUUAAAAGUAGCCGGCAUUAAUUUAGAAAAGAGUUGUUUUUCUCACGGACAAUUAUACGUGGCUUGCUCACGUGUUUCAAGUCCACAGAAUCUCCAUGUGUUGGCCAGAGAGGGAAAAACAAAGAACAUAGUUUACAAAAAUGUACUACAGUAAUAAGGCCUCUUAUUUUUAGCUUCCUACAUUAUUAUACUACUUACAUUAAGUUAGUACUUCCUACGCAGACGAUGUUACGGAUGUCACACUGUCUAACAUCGGGGGUUGGCAGGUAGGUAGUUAGUAGUAUUUUAAACCGAUUUACAUUAUUUACUUUUUAUAUUUACUAAGGAAACAUUCGGAGCUAUCCAUUAUGUAGCUUAGGUUGCUUUUGAACAAAUUUUGAUGUGAAGUUGAGGACUGGAACACGAUAGUGGGACAUUGUUGCAGGGAGACUUAUAGCCGGGAGAAAACAAAAAAACUUAUGCGGACGAAGUCGCGGGUAAAAGCUAGUAGUGUAAAUAAAGAAGUUAAUAGGGCCAUUAGAAAUUUGAAUAAUGGAUUGUCUCAAAUUCAAUGUUUUUACAAUAGCUUAAAUUUAAAUAUAAGUGUAAAUAAAAAUGGGGCAAUGUUAUACAGUAAAAAGGUUGUCAACCUAAAUGAGAUAUCACUUAUACUAUACAACAAUAGUCCAUUGUCUUUGUUGUUACAUAAAAAAAUCUUGGGUGUUUGGUUAGAUACAAGACUGACAUUUGAAACACACAUUAAUAACACUAUUGGAAAUGCCUGCAAAGGACUAAACAUUCUGCGAUCUCUGGCUGGAGUUCAUUGGGGUUCUGACCCUAAGGUUUUGUCUCUGUUAUAUAAAAGCAUUGUCAGGAAUAAUUUUGAUUAUAGUUCAUUAGCUUACAUGAAUGCAAAUCUUAGAUAUCUACGCAAACUUGAUGUAAUCUAAAACAAAGCACUAAGAAUUAUUACAGGAGCAAUGUGCUCAACGCCAAUUAAUGCCAUGGAAUCUGAAGCAUGCAUUAUGCCAUUAAAAUUUAGGCAUCUUCAGAUCGCACAGAGAUUUUGUCUGAAGCUAUUGGCCACUGACCAUGUUUUUGUUAUUGACAGGAUAAUACCUAAAGAUUUGCCUAUUAAUUUUAUGGGCAUUUAUAAUAUCAAUAUGAGCAGUUUUAUGUCUGAUCAUUUACCAGAGACAAUACCGUCUUUACCAUAAGGGCACACAGGGCCCAUGCUCAGGGCCCCCAUUCUCAGGGGGCCCCGAAAGACCGACAAUUUCUCUCACACGUUUAUUCUCAAAACAUUUUUGUCGGGCACAUUACACCUUUUUCACAAAUCAGUAAUCAGAAGGUAUUUACAAGGCAUAUACUAUGCCUAUAAUAGAAGAUUUUACUCAACAGAAAUCCCAAAAGAAACCGUUAUUGAAAUCGUAACCAAAAAAACCAGCAGCAUUCUAAUAUAAUUAAUGACAUAUUAUAUUCUAUUUGAUUACCUAUAAUAAAUGGUCUUAAUCAGUAAAAAAAUGUUAUUAUAAUUCGCUUUUUUUACUUUCCAAAAGGGCCUCAAAUUCUCAUGUGCCCAAGGGCCCCAUCCUAGUUUAAGACGUCCCUGACCAGAGAUGCUCCAAAUUUCUCUUAGCAUUAAAAAUACAUUAAAAAAUAUAUACUCAUCUAACCUUUUGCCUAUAUAUGAAAUCAACAAUUAUACCACUGUAAAUAUGGCUGUAGAAACAGAUUGCCAAAAAAUUGGGAUUAAAGUGUAUUUUUGGAGUAUAUUAACAAUUUACCUGACAUAAAUAUUUAUAAAUUAUAUACAGAUGGAUCAAAAUUUCGAAGUAGAGUAGCUUCAGCAUAUUAUGAUCCACAACGGAAGAUGAUUCAAGAUCCACGACAAGAUAGAUCUAGCUAGAUGAUGCUUCAAGCUAAACAGUCACUGCAGUAUUUUUACUGCUGAAUGCUACGCUAUCUAUACAGCACUUAGCAAUAAUGCAAAAUGCAAAUAAUUCUGCCUUUUUAAUUUUAACUAAUAGCAAAAGUUCAUUGUUAGCACUAGAAAGUCAUCCUUUUAGAUUUAAUAUGAACUAUAUUAUUUAUAGAAUAAAAGAAAUAUUGGCAAAAUUAAAUGAAAGAGGAAAGAAUGUCCAAUUUAAAUGGGUACCUGCUCAUUGUGGUAUUUUUGGCAAUGAAGCUGUAGACUGUACAGUACGAGGUACAUGUGAUGAAGACCACACUAAUGUAACAAAAGUAGCGUUUACUGACUUUCAGCAGAAAAUAUCGGAAAGCGCUAUAACCCUGUGGUAUGAACACUGGAAGUCUAUAAGUCAAGAAAAAGGGAAAUGGUAUACAAAGAUACAGAAUACCCCGUCACAUGUACCUUGGUAUAACAUAUUUAAAGAAGCUAAUUCCAGACAAUUCAUUACCACCAUUAUUUAGGACUAAGAUUCGGUCAUUUUUAAUUUUUUAAGGGAUUUUAUGACCUGGUAACUAAGACCUUUAGGUCAAGUCUUAUUUUAAUUUUAAUGAUACGUAACUUUUAUAAAUGAAAAUGAUAUUAUGAAAUGAAAUGAAGUUGAUUAUUAUGAAACAUGGCAUGAAGUGAAAUUAAAUGACAUGAGAUGAGAUGAUAUGGGAUGAAAUAUAAUCGCAGUAAAAUUGUGGUCAUUUACUGAGAUUAGAUUCGGUCAUUGCCCAUUGCAGACAUAGAUUAUACACAUAAUAUGAUUGCAGAAUUCCUGCUCAUUUUUUUUUUUCCUUUUUGGAGCCAAUACCAGGUGUUAUUUGCCACUUUCAAAAUAAAGGUUAAGAAGCAAAAAGCAAAUCAGAAAAUAUAAGUUAGAUAAGGUUUAGGCAGGAAAAUUGGAUUAGGAUUAAUAUAAUUAGGAAGAAUAAAUAAUAUAUAUAAUUAUAAUUUCAGGUUAAAACUGUUGAGGAAUAAGAUAAUAAUUUUAUAAAUAACUGGGUCUACUAUAAGUAAUAAAUAAGGUACAGAUAUAGGGAAAGGAAUACUAGGUGAUGAUAAAGAACUAUAAAGAAGUGAAUGAUCAAAAAGGGGACAUGAAAGAUUAAUGUGAUUUAAGUCGCCAAUGUCCGCACCACAUUCACACUUAUUGCUAUCCAGCACUCCGAUUGUCGCUAGAUGUGCCGGACUACAUGUGUGGCCUAAUCUCAUCCGUGUCAAACUGGAAGUCUCGUGGCGUCUAAAAUUAUAUUUGUAGAACCAUGCUUUGGAAGGAAUGGUUGGUUGUACCCUUCGGUAAUAUUUCGCUUUAUCGCCAUUAUACCACUGUGCACUCCAAGCAUUAUUCAAAUAUGUUUUAGGGAGGCUAACUAAAUCAUGACUAUAAUUUUUGAAACAAUAGAUAUCACCACAAUUACUUAAUAGCCUCGUUUGCAAUUCCAUCAACUAUUUCCUUUAAUUCCGCAAUGGCUAGGUAUCCAUACAAAUGAUAUUGUAAAAUUUUGAUCCAUACAUCUCAUUAACAGGUUUCUGCAGUCUAAGAGAAUUGGGUAGAUCGAUUUAAAUCUCUUUAAAGGAAAUUUUGCAAGAGCCUGUAAAGCACUCUUUGAAUCGGGAUUUGAAAACGAAUUUAUCAGAUAAAUGUUGACGUCUCAAAUGAAAAGGAGGAUCAACACAUUCUACCUGUAAUGCUGUAACAGGACUAGAUUUCAUUGCUCCAGUGAUAAUUCUGAGUGCUUUAGACUGUAUAGAGUCUAGUUUUUUGAAAGCAUUCACAUCCCCUGGUUGAAGUAAAAAAGUACCAUAAUCUAAAACUGAUCUUACUAUGGCAUUAUAUAAAAGUUUUAAAUUGAAUGGGUGGGCACCCCACCAAACACCGGCAAGAGAACAUGAGAGAGCUAUGGGUCUGUACGACAAUACAUCUGAUGAAGAUUUACCAGGUUUGAGAAUGGGUAAAAUAAUUUGUUUUUUCCAUGACAUGAUGAUGAUAACACAUGUAAUGAACAUAGAAUUUAUAAGGUUUAGGUAAUAUGUGAGACUAGAAUCAUUCAAAUGGGCAAAGAAAGAAUAAGAAAUCUUAUCAUCACCUGGAGCAGAGUCCUUAAGAUUCGAGAUUACCCCCUUCAGUUCAUUAAAUGAAAAGGGUAAAUCAAAAUCUGAAACUGGAUCUGAGCAUGAGAAAGGAAGGACAGACGGGAUAAGAACUAAACAUUCUUCUGGAACAUAAGGGGGAGCUAAUUUAUCAAGAAACUUGUCAGCCAGAUCAUAAGGCAAGUCUUUGACUGUAUUUUCUUUAUAUGCAGAUCUAAAUCUUCUUAUUUGGUUCCAUACUUCAGAAGGUGAGAUAUUAGGACAAAUCGAAGCACAAUUUUUUUUAAAACCUUCUCGUUUCUUUUUUAAUAAAAGAUUCCGAGUACUAUUGAUGCUUUCUGUUAGAAUAUCAAAAUUUUCUGUAAUAGUUUCUUCUAAAUAUAAUAACUCGGCUGCUUUUCUCUCCUUCACAGCCUAAGUGCACUCCCUGUCCCACCAAGGAGGAGAAGGAAUAAAAAUACCAGAAGGGCUUUUAGAAGGGAAAACUUCAUCAGCUGUUUCUAUAAAAGCAGAAGCUAAAAUUUUUGCUUGUGCAUCGGAAUCUAAGUUAUUAAUAUUUUCACAGUUGGCAAGUUUAAUAUCCAAACGCGAUUGAAACGUUUUCCAAUCCUCAUCUGUUACUUGAGAUAGAUUGUACUUUAUUGUAGACUUAUGUUUAGAAUGAUCCUUAAUUACUAUGUUAUUGUGUGAAAAUGAAAUAAUAAUAGGAUAGUGGUCACUUCCAUAACUUAAUUUUAAUGUUUCCGAGGUCAAAGACGGCACCAGAGAUGGGGAGGAAAUAGAUAUAUCAGGAGCACUAACAAUUUGAUCAGGACCAGUUCUACGGGUUGGACUUCCAGAAUUUAAAAUACACAAAUUCUGUUCAUUAACAAAAUCAAGAAUUAUAUCUCCAAAUUCAUUAGAUAUUGAGCUUCCCCAUGUCUGAUGGUGAGCAUUAAAAUCACCCAUUAUUAUGAUUGGUCUAGGAAGAUUUAAAAUAAUAGUUAUAAACUCUUUGUAAAUCUCUACAGAAGGGUGGGGAAUAUAUACACUAACUAUACAUAUAUUAUUUACAAUGACCGCAAUAAUGGAUAAACCAAAACUAUGAUCAGGUAUAUCUACAAGUUUAAAACUAAGAACACUAUUUACAAGAAGAGCAACACCACUGUACCCGUCAAUACGAUCUUCACGGAUACAGGUAUAUCCUUUGAUUUUGAAAGGAUAUAUACUUUUCAACCAUGUUUCCUGUAAAGAAACUAUGAUUGGAGAGUGUUUAUUUAUUAAGUGAAUGAGAUCAGACUGUUUACUUAGAAUACUUCGACAGUUCCACUGAAUUAUCUUUUUCAGCCACAGGAGAUUCAGAAUUUUCAUUAAAUUUUAAAGCACAGCCAUUAGAAGGAGAUGGAGCAUCGUAAUCUUUUGUAAGAUUUCUAUGGGCCCUUUGAUCAAAACCUUUAUCACCUUUAAAGGGAGAUCGAGGUUUCAUAAAAACUGUUUUUUUAUAUGACAAUGGACUUUUACUGGCAAUUACUGGGCUGGGGGCAAUAGAUUCAUGAAACGUUGAAUGAUUCUUACGAUCCGAUGGAAUUGAAGAAGGAACAUCAGCAUACGAUUUAUACACUGGAGGAUGAAGUUUACAUGCUUCCAAGUAUGACACACAACUGUUCGCCAUUGUCUGCUUUAUGGCCCUUUGUCUUUCAAAUUCUGGACAUUUCUUAUUUAUAGCAAAGUGUAAGCCGUUACAAAGACAACAGGAAACAUGUUCCUCCUCUACAUUACAAGAAUCUCCUGUAUGAUCUUGACCACAUUUAAAACAACGCGGUUUCGAUCUACACUGAGCUCUAACAUGACCGAAUCUACAGCAAUUAAAACAUUGAACUGUAGGAUAAAUGUACAAAUCAACUGGUAAUGAUGUAAAACACAUUUAUACUCUUUUAGGUAAAACCUGUCCAUCAAAUGUUAUUACCACGGAUUCCGUGUCAAUAAAAGUUUUAUUAUCAUUUACAGUGCUUUUCUUCUUAAUCUCCUAAUUUUUAGUAUUUUUCCGCAACCUAACGGAACACUGAUGUUAUUAAUUAUUUCUUCUUCAGACCAUUCUGUAGGAAUAUUUCUAACGAUACCCAUGCGAGUAACUUGAAAGGUAGGAAUGAAUGCUUUAUAUUUAUUCUUCUCUAAAAUAUCUAAAUCUAUGUUAGCCGAAUUAAAAUUUUCAAAUGCUAGUGAUAGCCUGUUUCUACCAAUUCUCUUAAGACUGCCAUUAACAAUAUUUUUAAUAGAAUAUUUUUUCAAAAACUUGCCAAAAGAAAUUGGGUGCAAAAUGGUAUUGUCAUUAUAUGCCUGUAUUUGUUUUUGAAUAUGAAUGACGUAAGGAGCAGCAUCCGAGUCACAAUAUUUAUGUCUUCCUAUAAAUCUAGCAGUGGCAUCAUUACUUUCCAUUUGAGUCGGAUGAUUAGGAAAUAUAUUAGUAGACACUGGAUCAUGAACAGAGCUAUUAAUCUUUAAGGCUUUAAUAGGACCACUUUCCUCACAUUGGCACUGGCAGAUGGUGUUGCCUUUCGAGUCACAUUUGCUCCUUUUCCUAUUGCAGUGUCUACAAAUUCUGCGAGAUGCACGUUUGCGAUUUACAGAUGUUUGAUGUCCGGAGUAAUCGGUAUCUACAGUAGAAUCGUCAUGUUCGACAACAACAUUAUGCGCCACUGCGGGCACUGACGACACAUUCGUCAUUUGCUUGUAAAAUAUUAAAACUAUUAGAAGCAAGAGUCCCCCCGGGAUCUCCCGGGGGGUCCAUUUUACGAAACAAGGUCAAAAAGACUUACCCGACGACGAAAUUAAAUACACUAAAUAAAGAAAACUUAAAUAUAUAUAAAAAUAUGUACAAACUUAUCCUAAUCCAACUAUACGAUAACUAAAAAAAAAUUUAAAUAAAAAACAUGACUGCCAAAUUUUAUGCUUCCCGCGCUUUUUUUCAAUCUCCUGCUCAUUUGUUUUUAAAGUUUAAACGUUUAGCAACGGACAAAAACUGUCAAUUUCGUGUCAAUGAGGUCGCUGAUCUGAAACCAUAGACCUAUAUAGUAGAAACUUAAUGAUAUUAAAUGUCAUAAAUUUAUGUAAUAUAAAUAGAUUAAUUUUAGCGUUUGAGCUGGACGAUGCUUAUAAGGGUGACUCGCCUUUACAAACAGGCGUAAGGAUGGACUUAGAAGUAAUUUUAUCAAACCCAUUGCAUUUCAAACCAAUUUAUAGAUAUAUUGUUAACACAAUAGGAAAUGUUUAAAAACAAACGAAUAAUGUUAAGCACCAAUUGAAAAUACUUCAAUUUGAUGCUGUUUUGUUUAUAACCACUUGUAAAUCUACUGCCUGCGUGAAAAUUAAUUUAAGAUAGGCUAUAAGGUCUUGUAACCAUUGGGCUUAAAAAAAGUCAUUUCCAAAUCUCUUACCAUAGAUUAUACACUUCUCUUACAUGCGAAUGGAUUCAAAAAAAAAUUAAGGUUUAUAAUUGAGCUUACUGAAAAUACUUCUCUCUAAUGAGAUGAAUAAUAUAGUUGGAUUUAGCAUCAUAUUUAGGAUUAUCCAAAGCUUUCAUGACACCCACACUAUCUGUGACUAUGAUCCAUUUAUCAUAAUUAUGUAGCUGAAUAUAAUCAAGUACAGCCAAAAUCGCUGAAGAUUCUGCUGUAAAAAUGCUAGCAGCUCUAGUUUUCAGAUCUAUUGUUUCCAGAAGUUGGUGAGCAAGAAAUGAGGAAGCAUUAUACUCUGAAGCAUACUGUAACUUGGCGACUAGAGAAUGAUUAGUUAAAGAAGAAAGUUUCAGAAGGAAUUUAUGAGAAGAAAUUUAAAACAGAGCAGUAAAGGAGGUAAAUGCAUAGGAUAUAAGAUUGAAGAGAGUAUGUGUAAAUUUACAUUGUUAAAACGACCAACUAUAUCUAAAUCAAGAAACAAAUGACUUAGGCAGACUCCGGGGCAAAACGGCCACGAUCGAAACCAAAUUGAUUAGUAGAUGUGAAAUUCGAAGAACAAAAGUGAGGAAGAUCAUAUUCUACAGCAUCAGUGGGAAAAUGAUAAUUGCCAAGAGGUCAUUCACAGACCUGCCAUUCGCAAGAAAGGACCAAGGAUGAUGAGACCAUAGGUCAAGACCAUUUGGCCUCCAACGAUUAGAGCCUUUUGUAGUUGGAUUUCUGUCAUUCAAGAGCACUAAGUUAUUCUCCUCCAUAACAUCAAUGUCUCUGGCAUGAGAAUCAAUACUACCACAACCCCACAUCGUAUGGUGUGCAUUAAAGUCACCAGCUACUAUCAUUGGACUAGCGAGCUGCUCGUGCUCAAGACGUCGGCGCAGGGCGAGAGCUUCUACGGCGGCCUUUUGAGCUUUAAUUGUGGACGACGAACGUGAUGAUUUUGACUUAGACGUCUCACUGGGACAACGCUGUCUACAUGAGAAGUACUAGGUUGCAUAAUAUUAUCUUGCACACCAGUACUAGUCGCAGGAUUUGUCGGAAUGAUUUUACUUUUAAUGCGGAUGAUCAUUAAGUGAGAAAUAAAAAUUAAAUAAAGCAGUGAAAAUGAAAACAAAUACUACGAAAUGAAUGAAUAGCUAAAGUUACGUAAUGAAAAAUAGGUACGCUGGAAAAUUAUCCCGCUCGAAGGACCUAAAUGAAACGAACAAACCAAAUUAAUCUCUGCAAAUGAUAAAACAAAUGAUUACAAGUUGAAGUAUGAUUAUUUUUUAAUAAAAAAUAGAAAAUCAAGCAAACAGAAAGAAAUAGGUAAAAUGAACAGACAACGUAAAAAAAGAGAAUAAAAAACUACAUCAACUAUCAAAAUAGCAAAGGGGUCCGCAACAAACUAAUUAUGUAAUUAUUUUGAAACACCAUAUUGUUGACCCCUUUUGUACGCGUCCGCCUAAUCCUCUUUUUUUUAAACUUGAUUUAAAUUAAUUAUCUGGCACUGUCGCCGAAUCAGCAUUAGAGCCAAUUUUGUAAACAAGAAGUCUGACAUUUGCUGACGAUGAUUAAUGCAUAACCACUCUGUAUUACAAUUUGAAUAAAAUAUAGUAAUUGUCCACUGGCAAAUAUUGUUAUUAUGUAGGUUAGGUAUACAAAACUGUUUAAAAAUUGUAAACGCAAUGUGUACAGUUUGACACAACUGCAAUGAUGGAUAUGAUAUGUCAAACAUUUUUUUAUCUUGCCACCACUCCCUUAAUUUAAUUAAAUCAUAUAUUUUAUUUUCCUCUGGAUCUGCAACCGUCAAAGUUUCUCUACAGAACUGCCAUUUUUUUGAAUAAGCUAAAUAUUCACUUAUAUAGACCACUGGUUGAUUUGAAAUUUUUGCUAGUCAUACUAUUUCAUUAUAUUCUUCUUCUUAAGGUAUACUGAGAACUGGGUUGUCUUCCUCAUUUUCAUUUUCUGUGGAAACUUGACUAGAAAACUCAUUAAUAUGUUGACCUUGAUCAUCUUCAUUUUCAAACCCGAAAACUAAAGAAAAUCUGUCAUGAGUUUCUUUUUGUCCUCUUCACAAUUGGAGUUUUUCUUGUGAGGGGCGGUAUGUCCUGAUAUUAUAGAGGUUUUCAUAGCAGCUAUAAAUGUAGAACACGUCGGAUGCUUGUUUGUUUGACCAUGCUGUCUUUUUAAAACAAAUAAAUUUUCUAACGCAUCCUGGUUUAACUGCCGUAGAUUCAAAUAUUUAUAUCCUAAACCCUGAACUUCCAGUCAAAUAUCACGCAGCGAUUAUAAUGAUAUGAUGUAACCUUGAACACAUUUUACAUUUUUUGCUACCACACCAUGUUUUCCCGUAUACCUUUUUUCACGUCAGCGUCUCCUGAUGGUCUAUUUGUACAAUCAAAAAGUUUAUUGAAUUUUUCAAUCAACAAACCAGUCUGUAUGAUUUCAUCUGAUCAGUGAAUAUUUUCCACAUUUGUGGCCAUUAAUUUAAGAACAGCAGCCACUGUUUGGCUAAAUAUUUGUACGGCAUAUUUAACUUUCAUCUUAGCUCUGUACUUUGGUUGUACUUGAGUUGAUUUGAGUUUGCUAAGAUAUAAAAAAAAUCUAUUUCGUUCCUCUAUCUCAACUAAAUGGCUUCAUUGAUCUUUCAAUUCUUCCAUUUUCAGAAGUUCUUGUUUUAAAAAGUUAUUUCUCAGUGAUUUUAAUAAAUGUGGAAUAUCACAAAUUAUAGAAUUUUUCUUAUUUUCAAAUUCGAAAUAAUUAUGUCCACCAUUGUUUCACUCCUUUAACAAUCUUAACGCUCCCAUAUUGGUGGCCCUUGAUCGUAUAUUGUUGAUAAAACUUGAAAUCCCGUGUUAUUAAUUUCUUUAAUGAAAUCUUUUAUUAAAACUGCUAUAUUUUCUGAAGAUAAUGUGCCUCUUACGAGAUAGAAUGCCAGCGGUUGUUUAAUUUUUCUCCCAAUACCUUGUAACAUGAAGACUAAGGCAUGGUUUGCUAGCUCAUUUUUCUUCUCAUAUCCAUAAUCGAUAAACCCUUACACUUUAUCUGUGGCUUCACUAUAAGUUAAUCUUUUUUUAACACUAUUUCGUCAAAGACUAGCGAGCAUAAUUUUGCUUUUAUUUAAAAAAAAAUUGAAGCUAGAUUUUUCAGGUGGUCAAGUACAGCUGUAUUUAAACCUGGCUCAACAGGUAUUUUUUUCAUUAAUUUUUGCAAUGUUUUGAUACUCGGAAAUGGUGCGAGAUAACGCAGAUAUCUGUAAGCAUUUGGUGAACGCUUGAAGAUGGCUAAUGCUGAUAUUUUAUCUUUAGUAGUCCAGCGUUUACCUUGUUACUUACGCUUUUGAUUUUUCAACGCGGACGUGACAAUUUCUUUCAGAAAUUCUGAUGAUAAAUUGUCCAUUAGUUUCGCAUUCUUUUGGGGGAACUAUUGUUCUCACCUCAGCGGUACAAUCGAUAAAAUAACUGCUUUGACAUAAAUACUUUUCAUGGUUGCCUGGAAGGAAUCGCUCUAAGCGACAAGGCCGCCCAUUGUUGUACACAUUUGUUUUAAGGUUUUUGUUCAAACUUGCGUCUAUUUUAAAAGUUUGAGUGGCAGACGAUUUCAGUUGUAACAUUACCUUACAACUGCCUGUCCAAGUUUGAAAGCACGUAGUGAAAUUUUGUUAAAUCGUCAGUUAUUUUUGCCAUGUUAAAUUAACCUUCUAUUUGACAAAACCGUAUUGAUGGUCUUUCGACCAGAAAGGCGGUAUUCUUACACCAACCCGAAAAAGUUCCGCUGGAUUACCAGAUGGAUCAACAGAAACAGGCACUUCAUUUUCGAUAAUUUUUUCGUGGGGUAGUUUGCGAAAAAGUUGUCACUAUCCUCACUGCUCACUUUGCUAUAAUGUUCUUCUCGGGGUCACUAGUUAUGGGGUCUGCUGCGUGAGUUUUGGUUCAGACAAUAAGGGGUUUAAGUCUGUCACCGUAAUGACUAUGUCCAAUUUCACACACACAUCGAUUUAUUACACAAAUACUUUUACAAACGAUUAGAAGGAGAAAAGCAACAAGCAAGUACAGGUGGAUAGUUCACAGCAACAAUAGAAGAGAGUCCAGGCACAGAGGAAGAUAUACACUGUAUACACUAAGCACUAAAUAUAAUCUUAAUCGAUCGAGACAGGUGUAUCCAAGUAACUGACGGUCAGAGGUCCGCGGACGACUGGCGCGGGAAGCUGUGAUGGCGCACCUCGCGCUGUUCACACUACCACUUGCGAACUACGCAAUCACGUGUGUAAGUCACUACACGAGUAUUGAUGAUUUUAGGUGAAGGUCCUUUAAAGUUUUGAUAUUAUAUAGGGCACUAUUAGCUAACCCUGGUCGCUCGAAUAAAGCUCAAAUUUUAUGUUUGUUAAUUCUUUUAAAUCUUUUGAUGCCCAUGUUACCUCGUUAAAACGAAGCGCCGAGGGAGGUCUCUGUCGCGUAUCGGCCUGGUUUUGGAGCUUUCAAAAUUACAAUAAUUUCAAAGCUACCACCAUCUUCUGGAUACUGACGGCAGUCAUUUUCCCUAGUAGUAUCGGUCGAAGUAUCUGAGUCGGCACUUUCGACAUCUUGAUGUGAGUCGUCGGCUUUGCGCUUGCCCCCAAUGUUGAUACUCACGUAUAAAUAGUGGAUUUUUAUGACCGGUUCCAAAUUCCGGGUAAAAACAAUUUUUAAAAAUCGUCGGUCGGAAACACUAAUGGAACAUUUCAAAAUGGCCUGUUCUGAAUAAUUAAGUUUUAAAGAUUUUGAAAAUAUUCCAAUGUCAUUUUAUUUUAUCUAGAGACCAUUUAUUAAUAUUUUUUUAAUUGAAUUAUAUGCAGAUUAUAGCCAAGUGUAUUUAUUGUGUAUUACUAAGAUUCAAGAUAUAAUUUGUAAUUAAUGAGCUAUCAGUAUUUUUUUAAAAUGUUCCAAUAAUGAAUUAAAAUUUUCCUGAAAAUCUAAGGACUAUUUGGAAUAUUUCUAAAUAAGCCAGUAAUGAAAUUAAACAACCAAUCAAUUUAGAAACCUUAAUGGUUUAUUAAUAUUUAAAAAAAUAAAAGAAAUCAGUUAAAUCUUAUAAUAAUUAGGUGCGUCAAAUUAAUAAUUUUCGUUAUGCUCAUCGGGUUCAAUAUGAUUGUCUCCAGCCUCCAAACUUGAGUAAUAAUCUCGGUAUACUCUUGGAAUAACAUUUGAGUCGCAAAGCAAGCAAGUCUUUUUUCUUUAGGGUUGAUAUCUUUGGUUGCUGGUGGUACUUAUAUCGUAAAUUAAGUUCAACAUUUACACCACCUCUGCCUCUCAUUUUGUUGCGCACAUUUAAGCACUUCAUCGUUGCAUUUUGAUCAUAGGUGUCGUUAUAAAAAAUUAAGUAUGGAGAAGACGCUUGCAUGAAGAUUUUUUUGAUGUCAUUCCACACAACACGAUCACCGUCAUUAUUUACCGUGAAGUUUUUACCAAACUGCGUUACGAGGUCCUUUAGAUCGAGAAUAUCACUGAAGUUUAAUUCAUGUACUGCGUAUGGAGUUCCAGUCUUCUUGGCGCAUUGUAUUACCGAUUUCCGCUGUGUUGGUACAAAAAUUGAUCCAUUUUCAGUAUUUGUGUCUUCUCCCGUUCAAUUGUGCUAUGCGCGCUGUCACCUUCGUUCUGGGUGUGUCCAACAACUAAGUAUUUGUGUGUUAUUGACACAACACCCAAUACUUUAAUAGCAUAGUGGUAGAGACUUAGUAAAUAUUUAUUUUUAUUCUGUGCAGAACAAUUGUCAGUGUAGAAAAGAAAUUUUUUUCCAACACAGUGGUCUUUAAAAAAAUUGUAAAUGCACGUCCCAACUUCAUCGCAACCUGUUCCCCCUUGCGACAACUGCUUAGUCUUUCCCUUAAGAAAAAAAACAAAACACUAGUGUCUCAGUAAAAAAAUAUGUUACAAACAAAAAACACAAGCAGUUGAGCACACAAAUUUGUAGGGUGUGGUUGUACGGCCGAUCUGACUCUCCCUCUGUAGGUUACCCUCCUGAAUUCCGGCAGCCAACGGACGUGGCUUGACCCGCUGAAUCACCACGCCUGGACUCCUGGAGGUCUCCUGGGCUAGCUAGAUCACCAGGGUGCGGGUUACUGGGCGGAGAUGACUUUUUCAGCACAGACGCAGUUAUCGGGUGAAGCAAGAAGCAGGAAGCGUGAAAAAGCAGCAAGGCAUGAACCCUGGAAGCGAUAAGACCAAUUUCACAAACUUGUUUAUCUACCUUCCGAUCUGGUUGACCAACGAGAACUCGAGCAAGGUACCCACAUCUUGUGGCGAGAUUCAACCAGAAUAGUUAGUAUAGUAGUCAACCAGGACAGAGUAAAUGCACAAUAAAAAAUGAAAGCAAAAAAAACAAGUGAAGUAUAGCUGUGCAUGAUUAGCAAAAUAUAAAAAAAAAAGAAGUAAUGCGUUAAAAAAUAUAUAAUAUGCCAUUUCCAACUCACCCUAAAAGCGGGGUCGAAUCCGGUUAUUUUAAUAGCGUUAAUAUUAAGCACAGCACGAUAUGCUGUACUAAAUAAAAAAAAUUUAAAUAAAUUAUUUGUAGGUAAGUCGUCUGGUUUGAAAACGAACUUUAACUGAAUUCGAAUACAAACGUAAGACUAACAAGGAAGUCUAGUGACGACUGCCGGCGGCUGCGCAGUGUCUGCGCCAGCCGAACCUAUGUCUCGGGGGGAGGUGGGAACUAUUGUUCUCACCUCAGCGGUACAAUCGAUAAAAUAACUGCUUUUAACAUAAAUACUUUUGUUGGAACGAAGUUCCUUAUCGCGCGUUGUGAAAGGGGGCUAGACGGAAAAAAUUCUUACGAAAAGUUGUCACGACACUUUUUAGAUCCGUCAUUCUGACCAAUCAACGUGUAGGCGCUAAUCGCGUGACAUUGCUCGUAUCCGAUCGGUCCGCGUAAUGAGUACAGUUUCUCGAGAUAGCGUUUCAACAAUAGUAAUUUAGUUCAUAGUAUUGUUUUUUUUCUUCUUCAUAAUGCCGUAAUUUAUUAUUAUAACUAUAAAAAAAAAUUACAAUUCCUUCACUAAUUAAUCGAAAGGAACUUCGUUCCAUCCGGGUGUCCCUUGACACCUCUGAAGUUUUUUUAAGAUUUUUUUUUAUUUUGCAGACGAUUUCAGUUGUAACAUUACGUUAUACCCUAACGAUUCAUUCCAAAGGUAGCAAUACGCAGCUUUUGAUACAACGUCAUAUACGGUGCAGUGCAGUUGUACACAUUAAGUCUUCUUUUAUAAAAAAAGGGAGAAUCGUUCCCGCAUGGUGUCUGAAGAACUGCCUGCAUGUCAAAACAACAAAUUAUCUUAUUAGCAUUCCUGCAUGUUUCUAUGUCAGCUUUCUUUUCCGAUCUGCACAAAUCUCUUUCUUUUAAAUGUUUCUCAUAAUUGUGCAUCAGUUGUAACUUAUCAUCGCCAACAGCAUUUUGAUACGACAAACAAAUUGAACACUGAUCCUUCUUGGGCUUGUGAAAUGCAAUGUUAAACUCGUUUCGAAAAAUAUAUUCAUAGGUUCCAUGCUUGAUAAUAGAUUUACUAUUCUAAUGGCACCAUUCCUUAUACUGUCGGUACAUCAUAGUCAAGUUUAAGUCACCAUCCAGAUAAUCUUUUGUAGAGCUUGCCCGACAGUAAUGCGACUCUUUUCUCGGAUAAGAAUUUAUAUGUUCCCUUGCACCAUCUUUGUCCGCCUGUGUUAAACAUCUACCGAUAUUACCAUGACGUCCUCUAAGAUCUUCAGCUAUAACGCCCGUUGCUUCUGCUUUCUUUUUAUUCACUGCAGAUAAAAAAGAAUUUCCUAUGUCCAACGUUGACGUGAAGGAAGGAGUUAAUUGUAAAAUUGUAUGACACAUUUUUUUUAUUUAUUGCUUAGAUGAGUGGACGAGCUCACAGCCCACCUGAUUUUAAGUGGUUACUGGAGCCCAUAGACAUCUACAAUGUAAAUGCGCCACCCACCUUGAGAUAUAAGUUGUAAGGUCUCAAGUAUAGUUACAACGGCUGCCCCACCCUUCAAACCGAAACGCAUUACUGCUUCACGGCAGAAAUAAGCAGGGUGGUGGUACCUACCCGUGCGGACUCACAAGAGGUCCUACCACCAGUAAAAACACACAUUCAGGGAUCGCUUACUAUCUUCUUUGUGUAGCGAAUACUUUGGCUUAACAACUUCCAAACAAUUAGCAACAAAGUAGCGCUGUCUUUCGAGAUCACCAAUGCCCCAGAAAUCGUUGAAAAUGUUUAAUCUUUUUUCUUCAAUAAAAUUUUCAGUACACUUCAAUCGACAAUUGGUGGAACAUGGAGUUUUUAGUUUUUUAGCUGGUAUUUUGCGUCCUUUAAGGGUUUGAUAAGACUUUCUUGUGUUCGUCAAACUUUUUUUCACAUGUUUUUGCCAUUUUUCUGGCUGUCUCUUCCUCUUUCUCGAUCUUUUAUUAUUGUUAUUCAAAUCAGGUUGAUCUAGCUCUUGAUCCAAUUCACCACCUAUUAAACUUAGACACUUUUAAAUCAAUUUUUACAAAUCGUACUGUCAUAAAAAAAAAAAGAAGUUUUCAAAUAAUAAAAAUCACUAUGUUAGUACCCAAAUGUUCACAAUCCGUUAAAUUUGAAUCAUGUGGGCCUACAUUAUCCAAGUUAUUGUUUCUUUCCACUUCCACCACAGGUUGAUCUAGCUCUUGAUCCAGUUCACUACCUAUAAAACAUAAACAAACUUACAAAUCGUACUUGCUUAAAAAAUAUGUUAAGGAGUAGUUUUCAAAUAAUAAAUCACUAUGUUAGUAGCCGAAUCUUCGUCCGCACACGACCGAGUCGUGAGCGAGAAUGAAUUUUGCGCAAUAUUGUGAUAAAGCAGCUACAGAGGCCAAGUUGUUCAGGUGGUAGUGUUUUUUCCUUUCUUAAAUACCGCUCAAAUCUAUUUUUAAUUAAAUGUUCGGCUGUUUUCUUAGAAUUAUGGAUCUCUGUGAAUUAAGGUCAUUAGGGCCUUUGCAGGGUUCUUGUUCUUUACAUGUGCUAGGAACAGACCCCAAAACAGUACAUAUAAUACAGUAUAUACAGAGCUAUAGUGAAUAACACCAUGCUGAGUGAGACCACCAAACCGUUACCAUUACCUUUUUAUUGGUAAGCUUUGCUUUAGGACACUGUUGUGGCGUUCGACCUGGGGUCAGCCAUUGCAUUUUUCGCUUACGGUUAUCGUAAAGAAUCCACUUUUCAUCACAUGUCACAAUUCGAUCCAAUAUUCCUUCAUUUCUAUAUCGAUUCAACAAGGUAAUACAAGUUUCAACACGCGUUUCUUUCUCUAGACCAGUCAAAUCAUGAGGUUUAUUUUAUUUUAUUGAUUUGACGCAAAUGAGUCAAUAUUGUUGGUAAGGUAAUGUUAAACCAUGCCGCUAAUUCCUGGGUAGUUUGGCUCGAAUCGCCUUCCACCAUCUCUUUCAAUUCAUUAUUAUUCCACGUGCUUUCAUUCUUCAAAUCGAAAUUUCCAUCACGAAAGCGUUUAAACCAAAAUCGCACGGUGCGUUCAUUAGCAGUCCCCUCUCCAAACGCAAAAUUGGUAUUCCAAGUCGGCACUCGUAUUAUAAAAUCACUCCAAUUUUCGAAGUAUCCAUCUUUCUUAUCUAAGCUGAAUAAAAAAACAACUAAAAGUCGAUAAAUCAAUGUUGCGCAUUUUUUAAAAGAAGAACCUCAGAAGAGGUACCAUUUGAUAAAAGAUUCAUUCAAAAAUCUCAAACGAUGAAUGUUCUAUGUCAAUUCGAAGUACCUAUCUAUAUAUUAAUACGUGAAGCAAAAACUUUGUAUCCUUUUUUACGAAAAUUGCGCGGUCAGAGGAGUAUGAAAUUUCCCACUUAUAGAGAAGAAGUGCACAAUGCUAAUAUUUUUUUAAAAUAAUGCAUAAAAGAUACUUUAAAUCCAUAAAGAAAACAUCACACACACUACAUACCAUGUAUUUGACGCACACACGCAUGUAUACUAUUUAUUGCCAAACUUUUAUUCUUGACGUCUGUUGUCAAAUUGAGAAUAGAUUAAAUAUUGUUUGUCUUUGUUAAUAUUUUUUAUAGUGUAGUCUUGGCGAAAUUUGUGAUUAUAGAAGUAUAAAAUACAAUCAUAAUAGUGUACAAACUUACAAUUCCAAUUAAUUAUAGUCGAAUUUCGACUACUGCGGGACCUCUAGUUACAAUAAAUCUUCAAUUUCAUACUUAACCCCUAUUAUAAACUAAAUUAAAAUAACGAAAAGACAGUAAAUAAAAACAACAAAAUAGUCCAAAGGAAAAGGAAAAAAAGUAGUGACCCACGUAUCUCCAGGAGGACCACCCUUCGACAUGUGGAGGAGAACUUGGAUCCCCCGGUGCUGGUUUUGGUCCACGUCGUUCGGCCUCUCUCGUUGUGUUGCAACGCGAGACCACACGAUUUCCCUGGGAGUAGUGCCCAGAAGCCCGUCAUCCGCACCUACGGACCCACCCGGUCGAAGUCCAGCAACUCCCGCGGGAUACGAGGGACGCCUGUAAUCUGAAAUUUGUAAAAAGGGAUUCAAACUUGCCAGUUUAUUUGUGUUAGUUCUUCUUUUCAGGAUACUGGCGAUUUCUUUAGGAAACGAGCAAACUUGAUGCUGCCGAAAGUAAAACAAUAUCGGAUGACCAUUUCACGCUAUAAUCGAACUUGCGAAACGCGAAAUAUCUCUCCAUAUGAUAUUCGUGACAAUUUUUCUACUUCACGCACUUACUACAUUACUAUGCAGGAGCAUUUCCAUAGCAAUCAAGUUAUGCAUAAGAGUUUUUUAAUAAAUAAAUAAUAUUAAA